UACGGAGGGUGCGAGCGUUGUCCGGAAUCAUUGGGCGUAAAGGGCGCGUAGGUGGCCCGGUCAGUUCGUGGUGAAAGCGCGGGGCUCACCCCUGCGUCGGCCAUGAAUACUGCCGCGGCUGGAGCACUGUAGAGGCAGGCGGAAUUCCGCGUGUAGCAGUGAAAUGCGUAGAUAUGCGGAGGAACACCGAUGGCGAAGGCAAUCCCCUGGGCCUGCACUGACGCUCAUGCACGAAAGCGUGGGGAGCAAACAGG
rnacentral:rRNA from 1 species